ensembl:lncRNA
AUCCCGUCUCCACGCUGCUCGUUCUACCGCCUGUGAAAUUUCUCUUAACGACACACACUCACCCAGUCUCUGUGGCUCCUGCAGUUUUUUUUCAGAGAAAGCAGAGGGUUGGCUCUGCCCUCUCCUCAGACAGACCCUCUGCUUCCAGCCCCAUGGGUCAGCCCCUGCUGUAUGAAGACAGGAGGCAGGGGAAGACAAGGCAAAGGAGCUUCCAGAAUUGUCUUUGGGAUGUUAGGGAAAAGUGGCAGCUGUGAAUUCAACUACAGAUCCUCCCUGUCUUUGCUUUUUUUUUAACUGAUGAGUGCUUGGCGAAGUUCUGCUUAUUCUGCUGCCGCUGCCAAGGCAAAAGAGGAUACCUUGUACCGAAGUUACCGUCACACGGGGGAGCCUCUCUGUAGGACAAAUCCCUAGCACCACACCUGGCACUGAGUCAGUCCUUGAUAAAUACACAUCGUUUGGGGGAGGAGAGGGGAGGCUGUGCUCAGGGCACUGAUCAGACCGGAGGCCCUGGGGAUGCACCUGCCAAUUUCCCAGCAGCCAGAAUUGGGUUGUUUUCAGAAAUAAGCCAGAUUCUCAGUCAAGAUCUUCAAAGUCCAUGUGGGUGUACAGAAGGCUUUGGGGUGGAGGAAGCUACUCCUCCACUGCAACCAGGCUGAGGAGGCGCUGAGUGAAAAUGUGAAAAGAAGACGUCAUCAGGAGUGUCUAAGAAGAGAAAGGGAGUUGAACAAUUGUUACCGCUUCAGCCUGAGAUAAUUUUUCAGCUGAAUUGCUAAAAUAGGAAGAAUCUGGCCUUUUCUACUUUAGGAAAACAAUGUUCUGGAGAUGAAGCUUUUAAAGAAAAUGCUAUCUGAAUGUGUAUUGAAACAAGAAUAAUUGAGCAGCCAUUGUUCUGGCCCAUUCCUUGCAAGUCUGGAAGGUUUCUGAAGUUGAGGCUCUAAUUAAAAGAAAAUUUUUCUUCUCAGAUGCAUCUCAGUGGUAUUGUUCUGUUUUAUCCCAUGGGGAGCUUGCGGGUGCCAGGCCACCCACAGCAAGGAUGUCUGGACUCUGGGGUCUGUGUCUGAUGUGAACCUGGAGCGAGGCAGCCCCAGCAAAUGUCCGGAGGGUCACUGCGUGUCUGGUGGGGACAGAGGAUCUGAGGACGCUCGUCCACUUCACACUGCACGACAACAGUGGAAAGCACGAGCUUCCUCCUGCAGAGUCGUCACCCUCUCAGGGAGCCUGGGUCAGAGCUGCCCCUCUGCAGAGGGACCAGCGGACUCGCCGUGUGUUUCCAUGGGAGAUGCCCCAACCUCAGACACGAGGCUCUUCUCCAGGGUGUGGGUUCCAGGCAGGAAUGAGCCUCUUACAGGCGCUGUCAUGUGUCUGGGGGCACUUCGUGUUUCCUGGCCCAGGAGGUCUCAGGGGAGGACUGGGGCCAGAAAGGCAGGUGCAGGAGCGAGCGUGGACUUGAGUUCCCCUGACCUCCCUGGGCUCCUCCUCAGCUGGGUGGGUGUCAUCACAGUGCCUGCCUCUUGGGGGCGCUGUGGGGUUACAGGGGAUGAUGUGUCUCCUGGGUUUGCAGAGCUGUAAAGGGGGCUUUGCUCCGUGAGCAGAUGUGAGGGAGUGACCAGGUGGCAACCACGUCCCGAGUCAGUGAGGAUGGGCUGUGCACCUGGUC